GUCAGCAGCCAUAUCACCCUGCAACUCACAACUGGCAGCCCACUGAAGCUAAGCAGGUGUGAGCCUGGUCAGUACCUGGAUGGGGACCUCCUGGGAGACCUUCCAGCUGCUGCUGGAA
rnacentral:rRNA from 1 species